UACGAAGGGGGCUAGCGUUGUUCGGAAUUACUGGGCGUAAAGCGCACGUAGGCGGAUAUUUAAGUCGGGGGUGAAAUCCCGGGGCUCAACCCCGGAACUGCCUUCGAUACUGGGUAUCUUGAGUUCGGAAGAGGUGAGUGGAAUUGCGAGUGUAGAGGUGAAAUUCGUAGAUAUUCGCAGGAACACCAGUGGCGAAGGCGGCUCACUGGUCCGAUACUGACGCUGAGGUGCGAAAGCGUGGGGAGCAAACCGG
rnacentral:rRNA from 1 species